rnacentral:rRNA from 1 species
UACGAAGGGGGCUAGCGUUGCUCGGAAUUACUGGGCGUAAAGGGCGCGUAGGCGGCUAUUUAAGUCGGGGGUGAAAGCCCAGGGCUCAACCCUGGAAUAGCCUUCGAUACUGGAUAUCUUGAGUUCGGGAGAGGUGAGUGGAACUCCGAGUGUAGAGGUGAAAUUCGUAGAUAUUCGGAAGAACACCAGUGGCGAAGGCGACUCACUGGCCCGAUACUGACGCUGAGGCGCGAAAGCGUGGGGAGCAAACAGG